GGGUGACGAGCGGCGGACGGGUGAGUAAUGUCUGGGAAACUGCCUGAUGGAGGGGGAUAACUACUGGAAACGGUAGCUAAUACCGCAUAACGUCUACGGACCAAAGUGGGGGACCUUCGGGCCUCACGCCAUCAGAUGUGCCCAGAUGGGAUUAGCUAGUAGGUGGGGUAAUGGCUCACCUAGGCGACGAUCCCUAGCUGGUCUGAGAGGAUGACCAGCCACACUGGAACUGAGACACGGUCCAGACUCCUACGGGAGGCAGCAGUGGGGAAUAUUGCACAAUGGGCGCAAGCCUGAUGCAGCCAUGCCGCGUGUGUGAAGAAGGCCUUAGGGUUGUAAAGCACUUUCAGCGAGGAGGAAGGGUUCAGUGUUAAUAGCACUGUGCAUUGACGUUACUCGCAGAAGAAGCACCGGCUAACUCCGUGCCAGCAGCCGCGGUAAUACGGAGGGUGCAAGCGUUAAUCGGAAUUACUGGGCGUAAAGCGCACGCAGGCGGUUUGUUAAGUCAGAUGUGAAAUCCCCGCGCUUAACGUGGGAACUGCAUUUGAAA
rnacentral:rRNA from 1 species